UUCCGCUUAAUUGAUAUGC
rnacentral:rRNA from 1 species